rnacentral:rRNA from 1 species
CGUGUAGGCGGGCGUCUAAGUCAGUGGUGAAAUCUUACAGCUCAACUGUAAAAUUGCCAUUGAUACUGGAUGUCUUGAAUUAGUGUGAAGUGGUUAGAAUGUGUAGUGUAGCGGUGAAAUGCAUAGAUAUUACACAGAAUACCAAUUGCGAAGGCAGAUCACUAACACUAUAUUGACGCUGAGGGACGAAAGCGUGGGGAGCGAACAGGAUUAGAUACCCUGGUAGUCC